rnacentral:SRP_RNA from 1 species
GCCGGGUGUUGUGGUGAGCGCCUGUAGUCCCAGCUACUUGGGAGGCUGAGGCAAGAGAAUCGCCUGAGCCCAGGAGUUGGAGGUUGCUGUGAGCUGUGUGAUGCCACAGCAUUCUACCAAGGGCAAUAAAGUGAGACUCUGUCUCUA